AGGCAUCGAUGAAGAACGCAGCGAAUUGCGAUAUGUAAUGUGAAUUGCAGAAUUCAGUGAAUCAUCGAAUCUUUGAACGCACAUUGCACCCUCUGGUAUUCCGGAGGGUAUGCCUGUUUGAGUGUCAUUAAUAUCUCAACCCAGACAGGUUUCACUACCUGUUCUGUUGCUUGGAUGUUGAAGGCUUGCUGGCUUUUCAAGUCAGCUCCUUUUAAAUUCAUUAGCAGAAAUGAUAGGCAAAACUGGCUUCAGUUUGAUAAAAUACUUUAUCUGUACUGCUGUCGCUAGUGAAGAUACCUAACAUAUUUCAGCUUCUAAUUGUCCCAUGUGGGACUGUCUUCUUGAAGGCAUAACCAAUUUGACACUUGACCUCAAAUCAGGUAGGACUACCCGCUGAACU
rnacentral:misc_RNA from 1 species